AAACCGUGAUAAGGGCAGUUGCGAAGAAGAUCUUUAAAUUGUUCAUGGGCUUCAAAGAGUCUCAGUAUCACCUUGCCUGAAAAACGAUAUCUCCUGUCUCAGUCU